rnacentral:lncRNA from 1 species
UUAAAGGAGGGGCUGAAGCUUGUUGGUUUAAAGAGAGGUGCAACGGCUCCAAAAAAGCUCCCCCCAUAUCUUCCAAAUGCAAGUAUUUAUAGGUGAAAAGAUAGGGUUCAUGUUCCUAUUUUGAAAUUCAAAAUCCCAUUGCAGAGAAGGAUCACGGGUCGAUAUUGGGCUUCCAAAAGAGCCAUUUUAAUCUCUGCUCUAGUGAUUCUUUGCAUAAAAAUCAGAAGAAAAAGAAAGUUUCUUUGGUACCUUGUGUUGACUAAAGCGUUGAAGACAAAAGAGAUACAAUGAACUUGCUCAAAAAUGAAAGGGGCAAGGUCUGUCCUUGGGUAAAGUAAAGCUUGACUUUGCAUAAAAAUGGAAGAGAGAGAAGAGGAGUGAGGAAGAUGGUAGUAACGGCUGUGAAGAGAAUAAAAAUGAAAAGGAGAACCUAAUUAUGUUUUGGGCUGAUCUUGU